GCCGCCCAUGCGGGCACCUCUUGCCGACUUACCUUCACCAUUCGUGGAGAGAGAAAGCAAGGGUGAGGGCACCAAAAGCCCCCGUGUUCAGUCGCCGUUCUUGCAUCUGGAGGAGUCGAUUUUCAGUCGCCGUUUCGCCCACUUCACGCCACCGCCUCGCUCUCUCUUUCUCUCUCUCUAUCGGCAGAAGAAGAGCACCGCCGUUCCUCGUGCCGCCUUGUUCUGAUCGAUCUAUCUAUCUAUCUAUCUGUCUGUCUUUCUAAUCUGCUGAGGUUGUUCUUGAAGACAGUGGCAGGUUGGCAUACAAUGCUACCACUCCGGCGAUGCAUAACCCCCAAAUGGGCUUCUCUCCCCGCUACCUCCGCCUUGUUGAAUUCGUCCACUCACAGCAUCAGCCCUUCUUUCCGUUCGGCCGGAACAGUCUCUACAUCCGUCCUCGGCGAGGAGGGAUUGCGGUCUGACGACGUGGUGCUAUCCUUUAGCCACUGGUUCAAGUCCCGAAAGAACCCUUUGUUCGACCAUAUCUUCAAGAUAUUGGGCGACGAUGAGAGACAGGAACGAGCUGGAUUUACUGCCGAUUUGGCCCUCUCACAGUUGGGUCUUCGGCUGUCUGAAUCCCUGGUUCUGGAGGUCUUGAACUACGGCAAAGACGUUCUCUCCUGCCUUAAAUUCUUCCACUGGUCUGGUCGGCAGCCCGGUUUCUACCACACCCGCGUGACUUUCUUUGCGAUUUUCAAGAUUCUUUCAAGGUCCAAGCUCAUGUAUUUGAUGGAAGACUUGUUUGCGGACUUCUGGAAGCCUGGGAGGUCAUAUAAUACCCGGUUAUGCAGUGUUAUGGUCAUGGGUUAUGCAGUUGCUGGGAAGCCUGAAGUUGCACUCCAACUGUUCGGCAAAAUGCGCUUUCAGGGGAUUGACUUGGACAUCUUCGCUUACCACGUGCUUUUGAAUGCUUUGGUGGAGGAGGGUUGUUUCGAUGCGGCUGAGGUGAUCGCCAAGCAGAUAGCGAUCCGGGGAUUGGAGAACGUGGUUACCCGGACCAUACUUUUGAAAAGUUUGUGCAAGCAGCGCCAGUUGGAUAAAGCUGAGUUUUCCCUCCGUGGGUCGGUGAGCGAUGAGAGGCAGUUGAAUGGACACUCUUUGGGCGUUCUUGUGGAUGCACUCUGUAAGGAUAAUCAGUUUGAGAAGGCGGGUAAGUUGCUCGAUGAGUUUUGCCACUUGGGGAUCGGUAAAUUGGAGCAUGCUUAUGGUAUGUGGCUUAGAAACCUUGUUCAAGCUGGGAAGCUUGACGGGGCUCUGGAAUUCUUGCAAAGCAAGAAGUCAUUGGAAGGCUAUGUUCCUGAUGUGUUUCGCUAUAACAUGCUGAUUUGUAGGCUUUUAAGGGAGAACAGGCUCGAGGAGGUCUGUGAUUUGUUGAUGGAGAUGAGUGACAGGCAGAUUUUACCCGAUGAUGUCACCAUGAAUGCGGCUCUCUGCUUCUUUUGCAAGUCAGGUAUGGUAGAUGUUGCCCUAGAGUUGUACAAUAAGAGGACUGAGUUUGGUCUCACUCCAAAUAGCUUGGCUUUCAACUAUCUGGUCAAUACAUUGUGUGGGGAUGGAAGCAUUGAUGAAGCUUAUCAAGUUCUGAAAAAUUCCUUAUACCAAGGUUAUUUUCCUGGUAAAAAGGUAAUUUCUAUCCUUGCCAGUGCCUUGUUUAGGGAGGGAAAACUUGAGAAGAUGAAAGAGUUGGUCAUUGUUGAUCUCGAGCUAAAUUUAAUGCCAACUGGUUGGAUGUUUAAUAAGUUAAUAUCAGCUCUUUGUAUGACCGGUAAAGUGAAAGAUGGUUAUUUGAUUUAUGGAGAGCUCAACAGAUUAAAUAAAGUUGUCAGUAAAACUACUUACGGCCAUCUCAUACAUGGUUUCAACAAGUUAAAGAGGGGAGAUAUUUCUGCUGGACUACUCAUAGAAAUGCAAGAAAAAGGUCUCAGUCCUACCCAAAAAUUGUUCAGGGCAGUCAUCCAGUGUCUAUGUGACAUGGAAAAUCCAGAAAAGCAAUUUCUCAAGUUGCUUGAUUUGCAAUUGUCUCGUCAUGGCCCCAGCCGUCAAGUUUACAAUAAUUUCAUUGAUGGAGCCAAACAUGCAAGAAGACCUGAGUUGGCCACAGAAGUGUUUGAGAUGAUGGUGAAAAGUGGUAUAGCGCCGGAUUUGACUUCUGACAAUCUGAUGUUGCAGAGUUAUCUAAGCAGUGGCAAAAUUUCUAAUGCUCUGAAUUUUCUCGCUGACGUGUCCAAGAGGAGAGAGAUUGGAACAAAAUUGUAUGGCACCAUGAUUGUUGGCCUUUGCAAAGCCAACAAACCAGGCCUUGCAUUGGAGUUCUUGGGGAAAAUGAGGGAAAACAAAAAGAAACCAAGUCGCCAGUGUUAUGAGGAGAUUCUGAAACUACUUUGCGAUAAUAAGAAAUACAGUAUGGCGGUAAAUCUUAUUCAGGACAUGGUGAGAGUUGGUCAGCCUGUUUCGUCCUUCAUGGGAAAUGUACUUCUAUUGCAUUCAUUGAAGAGUCAACAUCUGUAUCGCACAUGGGUUGGAUUAAAUGAUUUGCAAAAUGGGACAUCAUCUACUUGGAUGCUUGAACAGCUAAUUGCCAAGUUCUCUAGCCGCACAACAAACGAAGAUUUUGAGGUCUUGGAAGAAGCGAUUAAGCAGUGCUUCCCGCUUGAUCUCUAUACAUAUAAUAUAUUGCUGAGAAAACUAAGCAUGAGGCAAAUGGAGCAUGCUUGUGAGUUAUUCAAUAGGUUAUCUCGGAAAGGUUAUGAGCCCAAUGAAUGGACUUAUGGCAUCAUAGUGCAAGGGUUUUUCAAACACGGUAGGACAGCUGACGCUCAGAUAUGGAUAGAACAGAUGCUCCAGAAAGGGUUUGAUCCAAAUAAGUGUACCAAACGACUCAUCUAAUUGACAAAUAUGUUUACAGCAACAGAUGUUCUCAUCAGUGAUUAAAAACAUGAGCCCAGAUAUGAUGCUAGUAUGGGCCAACAAUUUGGAUUUAAGCUUUCUCAGGAGGCAGAGAAACCUCAACAAGUCAUCUCCUCUUUGUCACCAGAUGACUUGGAUAGAAUGGCACUUAAAAUCUGCUGAACUUCUUGUGUUGAUUUCAUGUCCUGGAUCUGCAACACACAUUCAUGUUCGUUGUUCACACAAAAUGACCCAUACAUUCUCAUUCAUUCAGAUGCAAUGGGCGGAUAGGAUUCAGAGAGGAGUCGAAGGUGUGAAGAAGGCUAAAAAUUAGCUCUCGGGAAGACCCGGUAUGAUUCUGGCAAUAUUUAUUGUAAUUUUAGCAAUAAUCCUUCACCGGCUAGGCAACAUCGGAAGCUUAGAGUUGUCCGUAGGCCAUGGAAGCAUGGGGGGAUCAGCUCAACCUCUAGUUGAGCAAUCAAUCAUGCAUACUGCAGGAACAGACUGCAUACAGAGGUUCAAGGGUAGAGAGUGUGAUUGCUCAGUGGGCGAAAGAUGACUGGGUAACAAUAUAUCUUUGUCAUGUUAGUAAUAGUAAAUUGAUUUUGAUUGGGUCUUGGUACUUGUAAUGUUCCAUGACAUAAGUUUGCCAUGGGAGAUCAGUUUUGGGAUUCGAAUUCUGUCUUUGCAACGAGGAUGUGUGGAAGAAAUAAGAAAUAAAAUACAGACACAAGCUAAUGUAUUCCAUGAUUAGGUA